CAGAAAGAUAUCAUCAGCCAACCGAAGAAAAAUCUCCACAACAGCUAAGAAUUGUAACAAUUAGUGUGACUUUACAUCAAAUUAUUAGUAUUAUGGACCGUUUUAGCAAGCAAAAGGCGAAGGGCUGACAAAUCUUUACAGCUGCUUUUGAACAACAGAAGAAAGGAAUAGGAAUCAUAAGUCAAUAGACAGGUAAGAAGUUAGGAAUCAAUAAUUGUGGGGUGGCUCACAAGCCCCAGCUGGGCUGUGCUGUGCUGGAAAUUUUACGGUUUUUACCAGCCUGAUUCUCACAACUCAGUGAAUAACACAUAUGAACCCCACCACCUGACCCUCCCGUGUGCUAGCUUCGUUUUGCUAAAGUCCCCCGGGAAAAAUCAAACCUAAAAAUGUUUUCUUUAAUCAAAAUAUACACACACCGACAGUUCUUGACCUACCUAUUAGUGUAAACUAUUUUUUUGAAAGCUCAAUGAUUUGCACACCUACGCCUGGUCUAACCUUUUCUCUUAUUUAAUCAUAAAACGAAAGCAACAUAUUAAUCAGAGUGACAACGACAAUUGGCUAAUUUGCACUAGAAGAAACUCGCAAAGCUACACCUAAAACCAUGAUGUGCCAACCAGACUUAUUCGAUCCAUAUACAAAAGUUAGAUACAUAACUUCUCCAUUGAGCAAGAUAGUCCAUCAGAAAAAGCUAAGAAAAUUGCAAGUGCCACCUGCAAGCUUAAUCAAAUAUUCCCUUUGAUGCAACACCACCAACAACAAACAACCUCGACGAAACCACUAAGUUUCAAGCCAUUUCUAUAGUAACACGAGAUUAGAAAGCGUUUUUCUGAUCUAAUCCCUAUUAGCAGCCACACUAACCUUAAAAACCACAGCUGACAUACAUAUGUAUACACAUUAAACUCAUUUUGAAAUUUAAGGCAAUUACAUAUAAAGACUUCAAUUUUCACAAGCAAGUAAUCUUGUAAUAAUUCAAGAAAUCAAUACAAACAAGAUGGCAAUCCUUCCCGGGACAACCUCAACCAAGUUGGUAAGGUCUUUGACUUCGUAACCACAAGGCUAUAAGUUCAAUUCCUAAUAAGAGGAACCAAUCAGGCAACCUAGGCUUGUUUAACUCGUUGUGAUCCUUUGUUGACUAGGAUCACAAGACAGACUUUCUGGGCAACCUAGGCUGGUUUACCUCAUUGUGGUCUUUUGCCGGCUAGGGUCACAAGGCGAGGUUUACCCAGUGCACACCCUCGGAUAGUGGCUACGGGUUUCCCUCAUCACUCAAAAUAAA